GGUUAAGCGACUAAGCGUACACGGUGGAUGCCCUGGCAGUCAGAGGCGAUGAAGGACGUGCUAAUCUGCGAAAAGCGUCGGUAAGGUGAUAUGAACCGUUAUAACCGGCGAUGUCCGAAUGGGGAAACCCAGUGCAAUUCGUUGCACUAUCGUUAACUGAAUACAUAGGUUAACGAGGCGAACCGGGGGAACUGAAACAUCUAAGUACCCCGAGGAAAAGAAAUCAACCGAGAUUCCCCCAGUAGCGGCGAGCGAACGGGGAGCAGCCCAGAGUCUGAAUCAGCUUGUGUGUUAGUGGAACGGUCUGGAAAGUCCGACGGUACAGGGUGAUAGUCCCGUACACCAAAAUGCACAGGCUGUGAACUCGAAGAGUAGGGCGGGACACGUGGUAUCCUGUCUGAAUAUGGGGGGACCAUCCUCCAAGGCUAAAUACUCCUGACUGACCGAUAGUGAACCAGUACCGUGAGGGAAAGGCGAAAAGAACCCCGGCGAGGGGAGUGAAAAAGAACCUGAAACCGUGUACGUACAAGCAGUGGGAGCACCUUCGGGUGUGACUGCGUACCUUUUGUAUAAUGGGUCAGCGACUUAUAUUCUGUAGCAAGGUUAACCGUAUAGGGGAGCCGCAGGGAAACCGAGUCUUAACUGGGCGUUAAGUUGCAGGGUAUAGACCCGAAACCCGGUGAUCUAGCCAUGGGCAGGUUGAAGGUUGGGUAACACUAACUGGAGGACCGAACCGACUAAUGUUGAAAAAUUAGCGGAUGACUUGUGGCUGGGGGUGAAAGGCCAAUCAAACCGGGAGAUAGCUGGUUCUCCCCGAAAGCUAUUUAGGUAGCGCCUCGUGAACUCAUCUUCGGGGGUAGAGCACUGUUUCGGCUAGGGGGUCAUCCCGACUUACCAACCCGAUGCAAACUACGAAUACCGAAGAAUGUUAUCACGGGAGACACACGGCGGGUGCUAACGUCCGUCGUGAAGAGGGAAACAACCCAGACCGCCAGCUAAGGUCCCAAAGUCAUGGUUAAGUGGGAAACGAUGUGGGAAGGCACAGACAGCCAGGAUGUUGGCUUAGAAGCAGCCAUCAUUUAAAGAAAGCGUAAUAGCUCACUGGUCGAGUCGGCCUGCGCGGAAGAUGUAACGGGGCUAAACCAUGCACCGAAGCUGCGGCAGCGACACUAUGUGUUGUUGGGUAGGGGAGCGUUCUGUAAGCCUGCGAAGGUGUGCUGUGAGGCAUGCUGGAGGUAUCAGAAGUGCGAAUGCUGACAUAAGUAACGAUAAAGCGGGUGAAAAGCCCGCUCGCCGGAAGACCAAGGGUUCCUGUCCAACGUUAAUCGGGGCAGGGUGAGUCGACCCCUAAGGCGAGGCCGAAAGGCGUAGUCGAUGGGAAACAGGUUAAUAUUCCUGUACUUGGUGUUACUGCGAAGGGGGGACGGAGAAGGCUAUGUUAGCCGGGCGACGGUUGUCCCGGUUUAAGCAUGUAGGCUGGUUGUCCAGGCAAAUCCGGAUAAUCAAGGCUGAGGUGUGAUGACGAGGCACUACGGUGCUGAAGUAACAAAUGCCCUGCUUCCAGGAAAAGCCUCUAAGCAUCAGGUAACAUUAAAUCGUACCCCAAACCGACACAGGUGGUCAGGUAGAGAAUACCAAGGCGCUUGAGAGAACUCGGGUGAAGGAACUAGGCAAAAUGGUGCCGUAACUUCGGGAGAAGGCACGCUGGUGUGUAGGUGAAGUCCCUGCGGAUGGAGCUGAGACCAGUCGAAGAUACCAGCUGGCUGCAACUGUUUAUUAAAAACACAGCACUGUGCAAACACGAAAGUGGACGUAUACGGUGUGACGCCUGCCCGGUGCCGGAAGGUUAAUUGAUGGGGUUAUCCGUAAGGAGAAGCUCUUGAUCGAAGCCCCGGUAAACGGCGGCCGUAACUAUAACGGUCCUAAGGUAGCGAAAUUCCUUGUCGGGUAAGUUCCGACCUGCACGAAUGGCGUAAUGAUGGCCAGGCUGUCUCCACCCGAGACUCAGUGAAAUUGAACUCGCUGUGAAGAUGCAGUGUACCCGCGGCAAGACGGAAAGACCCCGUGAACCUUUACUAUAGCUUGACACUGAACAUUGAGCCUUGAUGUGUAGGAUAGGUGGGAGGCUUUGAAGCGUGGACGCCAGUCUGCGUGGAGCCAACCUUGAAAUACCACCCUUUAAUGUUUGAUGUUCUAACGUUGGCCCCUUACCGGGGUUGCGGACAGUGUCUGGUGGGUAGUUUGACUGGGGCGGUCUCCUCCUAAAGCGUAACGGAGGAGCACGAAGGUUAGCUAAUCCUGGUCGGACAUCAGGAGGUUAGUGCAAUGGCAUAAGCUAGCUUGACUGCGAGCGUGACGGCGCGAGCAGGUGCGAAAGCAGGUCAUAGUGAUCCGGUGGUUCUGAAUGGAAGGGCCAUCGCUCAACGGAUAAAAGGUACUCCGGGGAUAACAGGCUGAUACCGCCCAAGAGUUCAUAUCGACGGCGGUGUUUGGCACCUCGAUGUCGGCUCAUCACAUCCUGGGGCUGAAGUAGGUCCCAAGGGUAUGGCUGUUCGCCAUUUAAAGUGGUACGCGAGCUGGGUUUAGAACGUCGUGAGACAGUUCGGUCCCUAUCUGCCGUGGGCGCUGGAGAAUUGAGGGGGGCUGCUCCUAGUACGAGAGGACCGGAGUGGACGCAUCACUGGUGUUCGGGUUGUCAUGCCAAUGGCACUGCCCGGUAGCUAAAUGCGGAAGAGAUAAGUGCUGAAAGCAUCUAAGCACGAAACUUGCCCCGAGAUGAGUUCUCCCUGAGACUUUAAGUCUCCUGAAGGAACGUUAAAGACGAUGACGUUGAUAGGCCGGGUGUGUAAGCGCAGCGAUGCGUUGAGCUAACCGGUACUAAUGAACCGUGAGGCUUAACCUU
rnacentral:rRNA from 1 species